GAAUACCUACGGGGGGCAGCAGUGAGGAAUAUUGGUCAAUGGACGCAAGUCUGAACCAGCCAAGUAGCGUGCAGGAUGACGGCCCUAUGGGUUGUAAACCUCUUUUGUCGGAGAACAAAACCCGGGACGAGUCCCGGACUGCGUGUAUCCGAAGAAAAAGCAUCGGCUAACUCCGUGCCAGCAGCCGCGGUAAUACGGAGGAUGCGAGCGUUAUCCGGAUUUAUUGGGUUUAAAGGGUGCGUAGGCGGUCCGUUAAGUCAGCGGUAAAAUUGCGGGGCUCAACCCCGUCGAGCCGUUGAAACUGG
rnacentral:rRNA from 1 species